GUUCAUGCUAGCUCUUCUAUUGACCAAAUGAAUGCUGCAAAUAGAAAUUCUGUGAUGUUGGAUGAAUACUCUGACGAAGACGAAGAAUAUCAAAUACCUGAGAGUGAACAAGAGGUCUACCCAAAUGAGCAGGAGAAUGAUGUCAAGAAAGCAGCCUUGGAAGAAGAAUCAACAGAUCGAAUUGAUUUAUCCAGUUUCUCGGGAAAUAUAAGGCAUGAUGAUCGUGAUGGUUCUCGAGAUUGCUGGAGAAUUUCUGAUGGGAACAACUUCAGAGUUCGUAGUAAGACCUUUUGUUUCGAUAAGACUAAGAUUCCAGCUGGGAAGCAUUUAAU
rnacentral:misc_RNA from 1 species